rnacentral:rRNA from 1 species
UACGAAGGGGGCUAGCGUUGCUCGGAAUCACUGGGCGUAAAGCGCACGUAGGCGGAUUGCUAAGUCAGGGGUGAAAUCCUGGAGCUCAACUCCAGAACUGCCUUUGAUACUGGCGACCUUGAGUCCGGGAGAGGUGAGUGGAACUGCGAGUGUAGAGGUGAAAUCCGUAGAUAUUCGCAAGAACACCAGUGGCGAAGGCGGCUCACUGGCCCGGUACUGACGCUGAGGUGCGAAAGCGUGGGGAGCAAACAGG